AGCCUCAGCUGCCCCUCAGCCCCGGAGGAUCUCCGUGUUCCUGGUCGGUCUGAAGAAGGCCAUCUCCAAGCCCUUUGUCACACUUCUGGACUCCCGGCAUUUCUCUGAGGACCCAAACCAGGCUAUAAAGUUCUUCCAAAGGCCCAGCCAAAAUCCCAGUGACAGCGGGAGCAGUUUGCCAGGACAUCAGAGAUCUAUGGGAACAAACAGAAGACAACAGUAACAGCCAAGGCCAAAAUGAAUCCUGAAGAAGACAAGGCGUCCUUUCCUGGCUCCUAACCUCGGCAUGGCUUUGGGUCCCGGGACCGACAGCUCCUCCCGCAGUGUGGACCCCCAUUCUGUGGACUCCCAACUUCUGCGAGUUGACACUUUAGUUACCCUGAGGCCUCAAGCAAACCUCUGGGGCAGAUGGGGCUGCAUCUCAGUUGCAGGAUGGUUAACUGUUUGCCAGGCAAGCCAGGGAUCUCGGAUGACACCAGUUCCUUGGCUUUGUAACCAAGAGAUUGGCUUUUUUUAACUUCCUAAGGAAAUCUUUUUAGAGGGACUAGAAAGGCCGGCCAGCGUGGCCAUUCCCUGGGAGCAGCACCGGCGAGAUUGGUGGGAAAAAGGAAAAGGGGGGCAGGAGCGGAAGGAGUUCUCUGACCCCUUCAGCCAGGCGCUACCAGGCACCUCUGCCACCGCACCAGGCUUGGCCACUCCCAGACACUCUCAACGCUCAGGGGCCCUUCAGGACUGAGUAAGCCCAGUUCUUGCACUGCCUUGUUCCCCUUCGUGGUGAUACCUCCUUGUUUUCUGCACU